AUCACAGACUAGGCCGCCAAAGAAAAAACUCUCUCUCUCUCUCUCGAUAGAAAAUCCCAGCAACUCUUCGAAUUCGAUCAUCUCUUCCCCAGGAGGUGUAGUGAAUGGGUUGGGCAACAGCGUCACAGCUAGCACCAUAGGCGUCAUUCUCAAUUGUGUGUCGACCUUCCCGUCACCUGCAUCAAAAUCGUUGGCAUCUACGGAAUUGCAUUCAACAAACAAGAACAACGGAAUAGCAUAACCUUUCACAGGUAUUGAUCCCAAAAUGGGUUGAGACCUAGUAGCCCCUCAGGUUAUCAAGCAGUCAGGUCAAAGUUUUUAAACUAGUUCUUUUAUUCAAUAUACUAUGGAGUUCACAGUUUCGUUUGAAGCUUUUCAAUUAUAGUGCUUUAUGACCAGGAAGGCAAUGGUAUUCUUGAAACUUUGUUGAAUGAGUUUAAGUACCUAAGCAGAUAUUGGAAUGCGUGUUCACACAAUUGCGAUACCUUUUAAGUUGGAUAUAAUUCUUUGAUUUUUGUUAUGUUUUAUUUGUUGUAAUUAAAAAGGAGAAAGUGGAGAAAAUAAGAGAUACAGUAGAGAAAUAAGCCUUUGGUAAUUAUUAGCUUAUAUUGUCAUGUAUUUA